rnacentral:rRNA from 1 species
UACGUAGGGGGCUAGCGUUGUCCGGAAUCAUUGGGCGUAAAGCGCGCGUAGGCGGCCAGAUAAGUCCGGUGUGAAAGUCACAGGCUCAACCUGUGAAUGCCGCUGGAAACUGUCUGGCUAGAGUCCGGAAGGGGCGAGUGGAAUUCCUGGUGUAGCGGUGAAAUGCGCAGAUAUCAGGAGGAACACCAAUGGCGAAGGCAGCCCCCUGGGCCUGCACUGACGCUCAUGCACGAAAGCGUGGGGAGCAAACAGG